CCUACGGGGGGCAGCAGUGAGGAAUAUUGGUCAAUGGACGAGAGUCUGAACCAGCCAAGUAGCGUGAAGGAUGACUGCCCUAUGGGUUGUAAACUUCUUUUAUAAAGGAAUAAAACGAGGCACGUGUGCCUUUUUGCAUGUACUUUAUGAAUAAGGAUCGGCUAACUCCGUGCCAGCAGCCGCGGUAAUACGGAGGAUCCGAGCGUUAUCCGGAUUUAUUGGGUUUAAAGGGAGCGUAGAUGGGUUGUUAAGUCAGUUGUGAAAGUUUGCGGCUCAACCGUAAAAUUGCAAUUGAUACUGGCAGUCGUGAGUACAGUUGAGGUAGGCGGAAUUCGUGGUGUAGCGGUGAAAUGCUUAGAUAUCGCGAAGAACCCCGAUGGCGAAGGCAGCUUACUAAACUGUGACUGACAUUGAGGCUCGAAGGUGUGGGUAUCAAACAGGAUUAGAUACCCUAGUAGUC
rnacentral:rRNA from 1 species